rnacentral:rRNA from 1 species
AUGACAGUUCCAAAUCCCGGCUCAAUGAAGAAGUUCCGGGUCAUCAGAAAGGAUUUCAGUUCAAAAUCCGGUUCAAGAGACAUCUUUCUCUCAAAAGUGUUGAAGCUCUCCAAAUAUCCGGUUUACAAUCCGGUUCAAGGGAAAUUUAUCUAUCACGAAGCUUUGAAGCUCUCAAAUCCGGUUCAAAAUCCCGGUUCAAGAAGAAUUUAUCUCUUGCAAAAAGUUACAGGUUGCUCAAGAAGACCUGUUACCCUAACGCGCGGUUCAAACAUGGGUAUCCCGCCUUAUUGGCUUAUCAUAUUAUUGGUUACAUGGGGGCUUCAGCUGACAAAGCGGAGUUCUGUCCAUUAA